GCGAGGGGAUAAUAAACUAAGUUUUAUAAGAAUUAGACAAAAAGAUCGAUUACCCGCCAUGCAUGGCAGACUUGUACAGAAACGAUAUGUUGUCGAAAUUCUGUUCGUAUUUUUUAGACAUCGUAUGGCCAUCGCGCUAUCAUCGUAAUACAUCGUGUAGCCUUCGUAAUCCAUCGUGUAGCCUUCGUGAUCCAUCGUGUAGGCUACGGCUGAGAUAUGAAGCUUAAAUACCCGUCUUCGGUUAACCUUCGUAUGUCCAUCUUUUGCUAUCGUAUACAAUUUCGGCACCAUCGUAUAGACUUCGUUAUUCAUCGUACUUGCUUCGGUCACUUUUUGGUAUUUUAACGAGAUCGGGACCAACUUCGUACGAACUUACAAUUUUAGCAUUCGGGUGUCCAUCGUAUAUAAAAAUCGGGACAGUGUGACGCGGGCAUUAGGAAAGAGCAUAACUUUAACAAUAGAUUCUAAUUGAUAAUUAGCAUGAUAAAUUUAUAGUCUCAUUAAAUACAUUUUUGGAUAAUUAUAUUGUCAUUAAAUUUUCUUAUUAUUUCCGAAAGACAUCUGUAAACUCAUCAGAAUAAGGAAUGUUUGAAGUAAGAUUUUUUCUGCUAUAAUUGUACUUAAAUUUGCAAUGUAUCUGCUUAAACUUACUUCAGAUAUUUUAUUUCUGAAACUUAAUAAAUCUAGUGUAAAAAUCACCCUACAGUAAAUUAAACAAUGGCUAUUAAUUAGCCUACAUUGUGUUUUGGAAAAAACUUUUAUUUGUUGAUUUAGAUUUUUCGUUGUUUGUUAAAAAUUAUUGCUUUUGAAUUCUUUGUUUCAGACUUAGAUUAUAUAUAAUAAACCAAUGGAAAAUAUGCAUUUUUUUGGUAUUAAAAUUUGUAUUUUUGACUAACUAUGAAAGAAAAUUGUACUCUUAUUAAUUGAAGUAUUUCCUAAUACUUAUAGCUGCAAGUUUCAUCAUAAUAUCUUUAGAGCAGCCAUUGCUAGAAUUUUUAACACUUAAAUUGAUAUGAUUGAAUCUUUAAUAAAAUAUUAUUAAGGAUGUACUUAAGGUGAGGUUUUGAAAGUUUUGUUUGAUGUUCGGACUCCUUGUUUUUUUCCUACGAUAUAGAAACACCCAUUUUUCUGUUCAUAUACAAGACUCCAAUAGCUCAAAAUUUUAGUAGAUUCUUGAUUUUAUUUCUUUUUAAUUGAAACCCAAAUAAUACACCAAUGCAAAUAUAAGAUAAAAGUCGACGUUUUUCAAAAUUUAAAUAUCUUGAAAAGGAGAUCAAUAAGCUAUCAAUUUUUUUUGCUCAUAUUUUGUUCCUUAAUUAAUGCUCUUCUAACUUAUAAUAUCAAUUUUAAAUUCUAAAUUUAUGUAAUUUCACCUAAGUACUUCCUUAACAUGUAAAUUGUAACACCUAUAUAGAGAUAUUUCUGUAUCAGUAUUAUGUAAGGGGAGAUCACUCCAUUAAUUUGUCUAGCUUUGUAAACUCUUUGUAGGGAAUGUAGGUUGAAUGUCUGAACAUUAUAUGCAUUCCUUAUUUCACUUUUUGCUUGAUAUGUUUGAAAAUAAACUGUACAUUCAAUUCAUUAAU
rnacentral:lncRNA from 1 species